AUUGAACGCUGGCGGCAUGCCUUACACAUGCAAGUCGAACGUGAAAGCGGGGCAACCCGCAAGUAGAGUGGCGGACGGGUGAGUAAUACAUCGGAACGUGUCCAGUAAUGGGGGAUAACCUAGCGAAAGUUAGGCUAAUACCGCAUACGAUCUGCGGAUGAAAGCGGGGGAUGCGGCACUAAAGGCUUUUGGCGAAGGUGGCCAAAGGUGAGUCAAGAGCUUUUAGUGCUGCACCUCGCGUUAUUGGAGCGGCUGAUGUCUGAUUAGCUAGUUGGUGAGGUAAAGGCUUACCAAGGCGACGAUCAGUAGCUGGUCUGAGAGGACGGCCAGCCACACUGGGACUGAGACACGGCCCAGACUCCUACGGGAGGCAGCAGUGGGGAAUUUGGACAAGUGGGGCAACCCUGAUCCAGCCAUGCCGCGUGAGUG
rnacentral:rRNA from 1 species